AUAUUGGACCAUGGGCGCAAGCCUGAUGCAGCCAUUCCGCGUGAGUGAUGAAGGGCCUAGGGCUGUAAAGCUCUUUCAACGGUGAAGAUAAUGACGGUAACCGUAGAAGAAGCCCCGGUCAACUUCGUGCCAGCAGCCGCGGUAAUACGAAGGGGGCUAGCGUUGUUCGGAAUUACUGGGCGUAAAGCGCACGUAGGCGGAUUUGUCAGUUAGGGGUGAAAUCCCAGGGCUCAACCCUGGAACUGCAUUUAAUACUGCCGGUCUAGAGUUCGAGAGAGGUGAGUGGAAUUCCGAGUGUAGAGGUGAAAUUCGUAGAUAUUCGGAGGAACACCAGUGGCGAAGGCGGCUCACUGGCUCGAUACUGACGCUGAGGUGCGAAAGCGUGGGGAGCAAACA
rnacentral:rRNA from 1 species